GGGACUCGGAGGGAUCAUUACCGAGUUUACAACUCCCAAACCCAAUGUGAACGUUACCAAACUGUUGCCUCGGCGGGGUCACGCCCCGGGUGCGUCGCAGCCCCGGAACCAGGCGCCCGCCGGAGGAACCAACCAAACUCUUUCUGUAGUCCCCUCGCGGACGUAUUUCUUACAGCUCUGAGCAAAAAUUCAAAAUGAAUCAAAACUUUCAACAACGGAUCUCUUGGUUCUGGCAUCGAUGAAGAACGCAGCGAAAUGCGAUAAGUAAUGUGAAUUGCAGAAUUCAGUGAAUCAUCGAAUCUUUGAACGCACAUUGCGCCCGCCAGUAUUCUGGCGGGCAUGCCUGUCCGAGCGUCAUUUCAACCCUCGAACCCCUCCGGGGGAUCGGCGUUGGGGAUCGGGACCCCUCACACGGGUGCCGGCCCCGAAAUACAGUGGCGGUCUCGCCGCAGCCUCUCCUGCGCAGUAGUUUGCACAACUCGCACCGGGAGCGCGGCGCGUCCACGUCCGUAAAACACCCAACUUUCUGAAAUGUUGACCUCGGAUCAGGUAGGAAUACCCGCUGAACUUAAGCAUAUCAUAAGCGGGAAGGAA
rnacentral:rRNA from 1 species